UGAGCUCAGCCCGCCCGCGCGGCCGCGCUUCCCACUCCCGGCGUCCUUCGCGGCGCCACCCAGCGGCCGCGUCCAGCACCGCACGCUCGAGUCCGGGAAAAUUCUGCCGCAGCCUUGCCGAAGGAUUUGGAAAUUCCCAGAAUUUGCCACUGUUUCCUCCUCCUGAAAUAUCUCCAGCAGACCCCAAGCCCACAUUUCUGCCUGAAGAAAUUCCACCUGUGCUUUCAGGCCAGUACAAAAGCCUCUUCAAGUGCCAUCUGUGACCUCUGUUUUCUGGGACUAGUUACUGAGCUCUCUGUGAGAGCCUCUGCUACCUGGCCAACCCUUUUAGACAUCCUGAGCAAACAGCUUGAAGUGGAGGUUUUAAAGAUGCAGCCAACACUCCAAAGCAAGAGAAAGCCUGUCUUAUCUUCCCAAAGAGAGAGCCUCUGCUCCAUUGCCAGACUUUCCAGUGGCUCUACGUUACCUUCACAGUGAAGAACACACCUCAGGUGGCACACAAAGCCAGCCAACAUGGUCUGGAUUCAUCUAGAGCAGCGCUACCCAAUAGAAUUACACUGGGAAAAGACUGUUGUUUGAAAUUUUACUUUCUUGACUCCACAUCUUGUAUGUGCUCUUCUUUUGGCUCCGGACGUCCUCAACUCAUCACUACCAACAAAAUCAUACCCACCUUCACAGACCUACCCAGAUCUCCCCAGCUGGAAG